GUACAAACAGAUGAUGUCCAGGGUGGGAGGGGUCUCUGGCUAUGUUUUUUGCCUUCCUGAGGCAGUGACAAGUAUACAAUUCCUCUAAUGAAGGCAAAGGACAGCUGGUGAUCUUCUGGGCUGUGGUGACAACCCUCUGGGGAGCUUUCCUGUCUGUGACCGUGCAGCUGGAAAACCACACAGACAUCUUAUCUGGGAUGUCAA